CUCAUAGCGUAUAUUUAAGUUGUUGCAGUUAAAAAGCUCGUAAGUUGGAUUUCGGGCCCAGGCGGCCGGUCCGCCGUUUCGGUGUGCACUGGUCGGCUCGGUCUUUCUGCCGGGGACGCGCUCCGUCUUGACUGCCGGACGCGGAGUCGGCGACGUUACUUUGAAAAAAUUAGAGUGUUCAAAGCAGGCUUACGCUCUGAAUACUAUAGCAUGGAAUAACACGAUAGGACUCCGAGCCUAUUUUGUUGGUCUUCGGGACCGGAGUAAUGAUUAAGAGGGACAGUUGGGGGCAUUCGUAUUACGGUGUCAGAGGUGAAAUUCUUGGAUUUCCGUAAGACGAACUUCUGCGAAAGCAUUUGCCAAGGAUGUUUUCAUUAAUCAAGAACGAAAGUUGGGGGCUCGAAGAUGAUCAGAUACCGUCGUAGUCUCAACCAUAAACGAUGCCGACUAGGGAUUGGAGGAUGUUAAUUCGAUGACUUCUCCAGCACCUUAAGAGAAAUCAAAGUUUUUGGGUUCCGGGGGGAGUAUGGUCGCAAGGCUGAAACUUAAAGGAAUUGACGGAAGGGCACCACCAGGCGUGGAGCCUGCGGCUUAAUUUGACUCAACACGGGGAAACUUACCAGGUCCAGACAUAGUAAGGAUUGACAGAUUGAGAGCUCUUUCU
rnacentral:rRNA from 1 species